rnacentral:rRNA from 1 species
UACGUAGGGUGCGAGCGUUGUCCGGAAUUAUUGGGCGUAAAGGGCUCGUAGGCGGUUUGUCGCGUCGGGAGUGAAAACUCGGGGCUUAACCCCGAGCCUGCAGUGGAUACGGGCAGACUAGAGGUAGGUAGGGGAGAAUGGAAUUCCCGGUGUAGCGGUGAAAUGCGCAGAUAUCGGGAGGAACACCGGUGGCGAAGGCGGUUCUCUGGGCCUUACCUGACGCUGAGGAGCGAAAGCGUGGGGAGCGAACAGG